GCCCCCAUAGCCCAACGGCAGAGGCAGGCGUCUUAAACACGCUUCAGUGUCGGUUCGAAUCCGACUGGGGGCACCG
rnacentral:tRNA from 1 species